UGAGUAUUGACAUUUGCCUGUGUAC
rnacentral:piRNA from 1 species